UACGGGGGGGGCAAGCGUUGUUCGGAAUUACUGGGCGUAAAGGGCUCGUAGGUGGCCAACUAAGUCAGACGUGAAAUCCCUCGGCUUAACCGGGGAACUGCGUCUGAUACUGAAUGGCUUGAGUUCGGGAGAGGGAUGCGGAAUUCCAGGUGUAGCGGUGAAAUGCGUAGAUAUCUGGAGGAACACCGGUGGCGAAGGCGGCAUCCUGGACCGACACUGACACUGAGGAGCGAAAGCCAGGGGAGCAAACGGG
rnacentral:rRNA from 1 species